UGGGGAAUAUUGGACAAUGGGGGCAACCCUGAUCCAGCAAUGCCGCGUGUGUGAAGAAGGCCUUAGGGUUGUAAAGCACUUUAGGCUGGGAGGAAGUUAUAUUGUUUAAGAGAUGAUAUAGUUGACUGUACCGGCAGAAUAAGCACCGGCUAACUCUGUGCCAGCAGCCGCGGUAAUACAGAGGGUGCGAGCGUUAAUCGGAGUUACUGGGCGUAAAGGGCGCGUAGGCGGUUAGUUAAGAUAGAUGUGAAAGCCCUGGGCUUAACCUAGGAACGGCAUCUGUAACUGACUAGCUGGAGUAUUGUAGAGGGUAGUGGAAUUUCCGGUGUAGCGGUGAAAUGCGUAGAGAUCGGAAGGAACACCAGUGGCGAAGGCGGCUACCUGGACAAAUACUGACGCUGAGGCGCGAGAGCGUGGGGAGCAAACAGGAUUAGAUACCCGCGUAGUCC
rnacentral:rRNA from 1 species